UGGUUAUUCAUAACCCUUUGUUGUCCGACUCUGUUGCCUCCGGGGCGACCCUGCCUUCGGGCGGGGGCUCCGGGUGGACACUUCAAACUCUUGCGUAACUUUGCAGUCUGAGUAAACUUAAUUAAUAAAUUAAAACUUUCAACAACGGAUCAAACACCUGAGUGGCGGUUUCGUCGGUGCCC
rnacentral:misc_RNA from 1 species